UGGGGAAUAUUGCACAAUGGGCGAAAGCCUGAUGCAGCAACGCCGCGUGAGUGAUGAAGGUCUUCGGAUUGUAAAGCUCUGUCUUUUGGGACGAUAAUGACGGUACCAAAGGAGGAAGCCACGGCUAACUACGUGCCAGCAGCCGCGGUAAUACGUAGGUGGCGAGCGUUGUCCGGAUUUACUGGGCGUAAAGGGUGCGUAGGCGGAUGUUUAAGUGAGAUGUGAAAUACCCGGGCUUAACUUGGGUGCUGCAUUUCAAACUGGAUAUCUAGAGUGCAGGAGAGGAGAAUGGAAUUCCUAGUGUAGCGGUGAAAUGCGUAGAGAUUAGGAAGAACACCAGUGGNCGAAGGCGAUUCUCUGGACUGUAACUGACGCUGAGGCACGAAAAGCGUGGGUAGCAAACAGGAUUAGAUACCCUGGUAGUCCACGCCGUAAAACGAUGAGUACUAGGUGUAGGAGGUAUCGA
rnacentral:rRNA from 1 species